UACGUAGGGUGCGAGCGUUAAUCGGAAUUACUGGGCGUAAAGCGUGCGCAGGCGGUUAUGCAAGACAGAUGUGAAAUCCCUGGGCUUAACCUAGGAACUGCAUUUGUGACUGGAUAGCUAGAGUGUGGUAGAGGGAGAUGGAAUUCCGCAUGUAGCAGUGAAAUGCGUAGAUAUGCGGAGGAACACCAAUGGCGAAGGCAAUCUCCUGGACCUGCACUGACGCUCAUGCACGAAAGCGUGGGGAGCAAACAGG
rnacentral:rRNA from 1 species